GUGGAAAUGCUGGGUUCAGGUGAAUUGAAUGACCUCAUAUGGGAUUUGAUCCAUUCAUACAAACCAGACCUUCUGAAGGAUUCUGUUAUGCAGUAUAAAACAGCCUUGCCAGCCAGACCUGAUAUCCCCAAAAAGGAAAUUACAGAACUGAACACAAAGUGGGAGAUGCCAUCCCUAUAUAUAACACACUGAUGAAAUUGCCAGCCAGUCCACCAAGAGACCUUGUGUAUAUCUACAUUGCCAAGGCUGUAGAACUUAAUCAAGCUAAGAGUUUCCAAAGUGCUUUGGACCUUCUAGAGAAGCAAACAGCCAUGCAACAAAACUGCAAGGGAGGGAAACACCUCGACUGUGCAAGUUGCUUAUGUGGAUGAUUCUCUUGACCAAAAUACAACAUUGUUUACAUGAACUCCCAUGUGUGAACAACUCCAUCAUGGCAGAACUUACCAAUGAGGCAAGGCAGUGUCUGGGGGUCACACUGGUCGUGAUGGUAUUGCACCCUGGACUGGG